rnacentral:lncRNA from 7 species
GUCUGAAGGGCUGACGCUAUGUCUGGAACGAUGGCGCUUUUGUAGUUGAAAAGCGUCAGGAUUAAACGUUCCUGCCUUGCUGUGAAAGUUUAUGGUAAGCAGCUGGCGUAAGGGAGCAUCCUGCCUGUGAACUGACUUUAGCAUGGUUCCUCUGGUUGACAUCAGCGUUCAGCGCUGCUGCAGGAGGACCAGCUGCAUUCACUGCUGGGUGCUGGUAAGCUGCAGGGAAAGCCUUUGCACGUGACGGAUCUAAGCACAUCUGGGAGCUGGCUCUUCUCAGGCCGAGAGCAGUGAAUCACUGCAGAGGAAGAUCACCUACAGUGCUUUCACUUUGUGGGUGACACUCAUGGCAGUGUGAUUACUUGGAAUUUGAGGUGAAAAUGCCCAGCCGGAGAGAUCAAGUCAAGACAGAGAAAAAUGAGCAGCACGUUAAAGUAAGAAAAUCAGGCUUUUUGUGAACAGCGUAAUUGCUUGUUUGUGCAUUGCUGAAGUGCAAAGGUACUGUUGAUAACUUUUUAAUGCUCAACUUUUUGAAUAAUCUUCAUAAUCAUCACCCAGGACCGCAAGGUAGUGAUUUGUGGCUGCAGUGUGUGUGACAGAAAGCCAAACUGCUUGACAGAACAUCAAAUGUUUGUAGCACUGAAGUUUUAUGCAGCCGUUGCAAAAUCUUUCAUGCUUGAAACAAUGAUGAAAAUUGAUUGUCAGCUAUGAAACCAAAAUCACAUUAAUCCACUGUAGGGCUGUUGUUUUUUUUUUUUUUCCCUGUUGUGUUUUUCUUUGUUCAAAAAUGUGACCUACCCUUGCACAGUUCACUUACCUUGAGUGCUCUGUCAGGUUUUAAAAAGAAUAGAUCUCAGUAAGGGUGUACAUAUUUCAUGCUUCACAACUGUGUGUUGGAAUGUGAAGGGGGAAGUGCAAAAAAAAAAAAAAACAGAAACAAGAGGGUCAGUG